GGAUGCUGAAGAAACAUGUGAUGCUUUCUCAUUUCAAAAGAAUCAUGCCCUGUACCAGGAAGUUCCUACUUCAAUUGAUGUUGUCUCUCCUGGCACUGACAAACGGACAAACUCAAUGUUUUAUGGUGCCUUUCUUGAGGGGUUGGCUAAUGGUGAGGGGCAUGUGGAUUAUCCUACUGAAACUGACCCUAUGGAUGAAUGUUCACCUGAUCCACAUGUUGUGGACAACUCGGUUAAAGAUUUCACUGGGCUAACGGAUAUCUACUGGCCUGAAUCUUUA
rnacentral:misc_RNA from 1 species